GUUCCUUCCUGGUGAUGGAUCACCCUGGCUGUGGCAUUUAAAUUCUGAGCGCCCCUUCAUCAAGGUGACGCGCAGACACCGCCGCCGCCGCCUCCCUCCCUCCCUCCCGCUCUCUUCUCAGCCAGCGUGUUGGGCUUGGAGAGCUGGGCCGGCGAGCCAGUGUGCGUCCAAGCGCUCAACCUGGAGCAGCCGCCGCGGGAACAACAGCAGUAAGAACAGAAAGCACUGAACGGCCGCCGGAGGGGGCUGCUCCUGCGUGAAUUGAAGGACACAGAGCCUGCAGACCCGGUUUGAAAACACCAGACAGAGCAGGAUGUUCUGUGAAAUACCAACAUUGAAUGACCACGUCCAGUGAUUAAAAGGAAAGGCUCCGAGGAAAAGGGCUGAGAGGCGACAACGGUGGUCUGUCUGAUCACUUUAAAUUGAUGUACAUCUUUCGUUGUGGUCGAAGACGAGGGAAAGCAAAAAGUCCGAGCUCAAAAUGAUGUCCCUCUACUUCUGUUUCCCAUCCAACAGCACAAGUUUCUUCUUGGAAAGAUUUCUUUUCUUGGGACCUUUGGAACACUGGGACGGAAAUCCAUCAGAAGUGUACCUUUUCUUGGUUCCCCACACCAACAUUUCUUUCCAAGACAUGGCUCGCAAAAAGAAUAAACACAGUGACUAAUAUAAAUAUACAUUUUUAUCAGUCUGCACAACUGCAGCAAUCCUCCUAAGAA